rnacentral:rRNA from 1 species
GACGAACGCUGGCGGCGUGCCUAAUACAUGCAAGUAGAACGCUGAAGAGAGGAGCUUGCUCUUCUUGGAUGAGUUGCGAACGGGUGAGUAACGCGUAGGUAACCUGCCUUGUAGCGGGGGAUAACUAUUGGAAACGAUAGCUAAUACCGCAUAACAAUGGAUGACACAUGUCAUUUAUUUGAAAGGGGCAAUUGCUCCACUACAAGAUGGACCUGCGUUGUAUUAGCUAGUAGGUGAGGUAAUGGCUCACCUAGGCGACGAUACAUAGCCGACCUGAGAGGGUGAUCGGCCACACUGGGACUGAGACACGGCCCAGACUCAUACGGGAGGCAGCAGUAGGGAAUCUUCGGCAAUGGGGGCAACCCUGACCGAGAAACGCCGAGUGAGUGAAGAAGGUUUUCGGAUCGUAAAGCUCUGUUGUAAGUCAAGAACGGGUGUGAGAGUGGAAAGUUCACACUGUGACGGUAGCUUAACAGAAAGGGACGGCUAACUACGUG